CUAAACUAAUUUUUAACCAAACUUCAAAAAAAAAACCUCAAACAUGCCUAAUAUGAAUUACUCAAAAGACCAAUUAUACAGUUGUGCAAUGCUCACUCACUCUUUUUUAUAUAUAUAUAUCACUUGGACAUAGUUCAAAAUAAAUAAAAAAACUAGGAUCAAAUAUCAACAUUAAUUACAACCUGAAAACUUGGCUACUUAAAUAGAAACUAACUAAACUACAUUAUGAAUCGAAUGAAUGAGAUAAACAUCAUGAAAUAGACAUAGUUAUAGCACAAAUGGAUCUACUACUAAGAUUUUAACAUUGCCUUCAUUCCGUCUCCAAAUUGAAAUUUACAUCAUGAGGGAUUCAGAACUUGUACCUGGAAAUUAAAGGAAAAGAGGUGAAGGAAGAGUAACAGCAACAGAGCAACAACUUUAGCAAACCAGUUCAGACCAGAAUUUUGAGAUGAAGCAGUAACAAAAAAAAAGUCUCAAACAAGCUAGGACUUUCAACAACUUUAACCGAGCUUUGAACAUUCAAAUUCAAACCAUUUCCAUAUUAAUGGAGUCAAAAUUCUCUCAGGAAUUUGAACAAAUCCAAAACCACUAAAGAGAUACAAUGGAACAUUAGUUCUUUAUCAUUUUCAGUGUUUUCUUUCUUUUGACUCUAUUAAACUCUCUUUCUCUCCUUGGAUUCUAUAAGUGCAUUUUUCAAUCCUAAAUCCCUUCACUUCUCAUUCUAUAUUCUCUAUGUGUUUUUCUUUUGACUCUAUCGAUCUCUCUCAAGCUCUAUUGGAUCUCUUCUAUAUUCUGUCUCAGAAUGUUCUUUCUCCCUCUGUCCUCUUUCAGAAUAUAUCUAUGAACUCCUUAAAUAGGCAAUGGGAAUGCCCUUUGAUUCACAAGAUGGCCUUUAAACAUUAAAAAAUUGAUUCCACUCAACCCCUAUUGAAUUAAAUUUUCCAGUAGUGAAAUCUAAACCGUACCACUAUAGAAGCUUCUUAAUUAGGUGACUACUUUAAACUUAUACUAAUCAAUUCUUACCAACAUAAUUAAACAAGAAGUUAAACCAAAUUAUUGAACUAAUCCUAAUUACUCUGACUAAGUGAUUAAAUGAGAUACAAUUUCACAGUCUUAAAUCAAGCUGAUAUCCCAAUUAUACGAAACAAAUCCACAAAACCAAUCUUAAAGAAACAACAGUGAAUAGAAAUAAUUUAUACCAAAGAAUUGGUCGAGUUUUCAAUUGAAAUCGACCAGAGAAAAGAAAAAGAGAUGGGGAAAGAUGAACAAUAGAAUAAUACUAAUGAAAAUAAACAAAAACUAGGAAAGAACUCACUGGACAGGCUCGAACUUGGAUUUGACACUCUGAAUCAACCCAAAAUAUUACCAAACGUUUGUUCUUGGUGCAGAACAAACGAGCAUUAUUAUUUUGUGAUGAAACAAGAUUGAAUAAGCCCAAAAAUCCAGCCAAAUGAUCUUUCAUGCACUGGUCAGAAUUUUAGGGUUCUAAGGCUCGAACUCAGAUUCGAUAUUUGAGGAGUUUUGGAUACAUUCGAGGGAAACUAAUGAUAUAUUGGGCAUGAGGGGGUUGUGGAGGUUAUGGGGUGUCAGCUUGGGGUCGAUUGGGUAAACUAGGGUUCGGGUCCGAUCUUUGAUCUGAAAUUCGAGGGAUUCCAGGGAUAUUUGAGGGAUAAGGUUUGUGGAUUCGGAAAGAGGGGAGUGAGGGGAUUCUAUGGUGUAAUGAUGGGGUGAUUUGGGCCACCAGAACCGUCGUGAGGCGAUUUCUGGUGGGCGGAAGGCGGCGGUUCAUGGUGGCGUUACAUUUGGUCUCUGAUGAGAGAUGGGGGGAUGAAAUGGGAAGGGUCAGGUUUGGGGGGGU
rnacentral:lncRNA from 1 species